rnacentral:rRNA from 1 species
AUUGAACGCUGGCGGCAGGCCUAACACAUGCAAGUCGAACGAGUGGCGGACGGGUGAGUAAUGUCUGGGAAACUGCCUGAUGGAGGGGGAUAACUACUGGAAACGGUAGCUAAUACCGCAUACCAUCAGAUGUGCCCAGAUGGGAUUAGAUGUUUGGUGGGGUAACGGCUCACCAAGGCGACGCUCCCUAGCUGGUCUGAGAGGAUGACCGGCCACACUGGAACGGAGCCACGGUCCAGACGCCUACGGGAGGCAGCAGUGGGAAAUAUUGCACAAGGGGCGAAAGCCUGAUGCAGCCAUGCCGCGUGUAUGAAGAAGGCCUUCGGUGUGUAAAGUACUUUCAGCGGGGAGGCGUUACCCGCAGAAGAAGCACCGACUAACUCCGGGCCAGCAGCCGCGGUAAUUC